rnacentral:misc_RNA from 1 species
CAUUUUCGGCCCCACCCGCACUUCUCUCGGCUCUGGCGCGUUGAGUCGUGCAUUGAAAACUGCAAAAGACUCAGACGGUGGUGAGGGGACCGACAUGGUAGCCAGCGCCAACAUUGGGGGGACGCCGAAGCGGAUCAGGAAGGCGUCAGCGGCGCUCAGGGCGCCAACCGCAACGGGGAAGAGGAAAUACACUCGAAGGGCCACUGCUGCUGCACCUAAGGCAGUGGCUGACACCGUUGACAGCGCCACCGUGGGCGCAUCUGCAUCGACCUCCUCCGCCUCCGGGACUGAGGCGAAGCAUCGCCCAUCGACGCACCAGGGUGGCGACAGUGCCUCGGGCACGGAUGCUCAUGGCACCCGAGACGAGGAGGAGGAGGUGUACAGUGGGCAGUAUGAGUUGUCGCCCGAGGAGACGUACCGGCAAACAAGUGAGCGCCUGCUACUCCCCCUGAACGCCGUCCGAUUUGUGCUGACACAGGCGAAGGAGGGCGCCACGAUCCCCUUCCUUGCGCGGUACCGGCAGGGCGAGACCGGCCGAAUGGACGAGACGCAGUUGCGCCUUGUCAUGGAUACCGCCAAGGAGGUGGCUGAGGUGCACCGCCGCCGCCAGUUCAUGCUGCGAAGUCUGGAAAGUCGAGGCUUGCUGACGCCGGCGCUCCAGACGGCUCUCGAGUCCAUGGUGCACGUCAGCCAGCUCGAGGAUGCUUGGGAGCCGUACAAGGAGCGUCGAACAAGCCUUGCCUCGCGCGGACGCGCUGCCGGGCUAGGGCCGUACGCCGACGCCCUCCUCCACUUCAAUCCCGAAGACCCCGAUUGCAAGGCGCGCCUCGACGAGCUGAGCGCGUUUGUGCGUCGCACUGACGAGGGGGAGCGGUUGCUGACCGCCAUUGUCGCCGAAGACGUGCAGCGAAGCGAAGAGCUGCGGCGCCGACUUGGCGAGUACUGCCGUCACACGGCGCGCCUGUCGUCCACGCUGAUGGCGAAGCCACGCAAGAAGGCCGCGAAGGAGCUGCAUGAGGAGAGCUUCGAAGCGCUGCGCAAGCACUUCGCCUACUACGACAACAAGUCAUGGUCAGUCCAGCGCGUCGCGGCGCACGUUGUGCUGGCGCUGCAGCGCGGCGAGGCCAAGGGCGCGCUAAAGGUGGACACGAUAUCAGGCCCGAAGAGCCACGGGUUGUUCAUGCACACCGUUCGCGAGCAGUACCCCUCCCUGAAUCGGCUGCUAUCGUCGUCAUCGCCUUCCAUGCCCACCGCGGACAGCGCUGGUGCCUACUCCCACGUCUUUCGUGAUUUCGGCUAUGAACGGAAGAUUGUGCAUGCUGGCUUGCAGGCAGCGUACGACCACCUCGUUAAGCAGGCGCACUUUGCGAUUCGGCGAGACUUGAAGAAGAGCGCGGAGCAGGAGGCCAUCGUCGUGUUUGCGCACAACCUGCAGCACAUGCUUCUCCAGCGACCUCUCUCCCGCUCGCGCAUCUUGGCGAUGGAUCCUGGCUUGGCGAACGGCGUGAAGUGCGUGGCGCUGGACGAGAACGGCGCAGUUGAAACUUUCUUCACCUGCACACUCAUGGACGAGCAGAAGAUGCGGCGCUACGUCAUUCAGGUGGUCGAGUCGAGGAAUUUGAACAAGGUCGUGAUUGGCAACGGCACGGCAUCUGGCCGCGUGACGGACUUGAUUGCAGACCUCAUCAAGCAGCAGAAGUGGACAGAUGUGGAGUUCGCCGUCGUGAGCGAGGCGGGCGCGAGUGUGUACUCAGUGUCUGAUAUUGCGAAGGAGGAGUUUCCCAACCUUGACGUCAUGUACCGUGGCGCGGUGAGCAUCGGCCGUCGCGUGCUGGACCCGUUGAGCGAGCUGGUAAAGAUACCAGUGCGCAGCAUGGGCAUUGGAAUGUACCAGCAUGACGUGAACGAGAAGGAGCUGAUGCGGGAGUUGAGCUACGUGCUGGAGUCCUGCGUUGCCAAGGUCGGAGUCAACGCGGCCAGCGCAAACCGCUACGUCAUGGAGAAGGUUCCUGGCAUUAAGAAGAGAAUUGUGGACCAGAUUGUGCUGGCGCGCCAUGCGAAGAAGCUGCAUAGCCGCGAAGACUUGCGGCGGGUGCCGGCCAUGACGGAGAGCGUCUACGAGCAAAUCGCAGGCUUCUUCCGCUUCCCUAACUCGCCAGAGCCACUCGACAACACGAGUAUCCACCCCGAGUCUUACCCGCUGGUGCGGCGUCUUGUGACGCUGUACACGGCGGGCCAGCUGGGGGACGGCGAAGCGAUGGCCGAGAAGCCGGGGGACGCGGCAGAUGGUGCGGCGACGGCACUCGGUAACGCACGCAUCCGCCAGCAGGUCGCCCAGCAGCUGGAGCGCAUGUCUCCCGCUCAACUUUCGAGCUUGGCCUCUGAGAAGCUGUCUUGCAGCGUAGAGACGCUGGAGCUGUUACGCCAAGAGCUGCUUCACCCGGGCUUGGACCCGCGCGCUUCGCUGCCGCAUGCCGGACUAAUGCGCCGCGACGUGUACGACGUGAAGAAUCUCCGUUCCGGCGAACUGCUCUCCGGUGUCGUGCAGAGCGUCACAAUGUUUGGUGCGUUCGUUGACUGCGGUCUGCACGACGCUGUGCUCUUGCGCGGUGAAGGCGUGGAUGCGCUGCAGGUGGGCAUGUACCUGGACCAGUGCAUCCGCUUUGACUGCCUCGACCACUUGCAGCGUCCGCGGGUGCUCUUGGUGCGCGCUGCUGCUCCUGCCGCCUCUGGCGACAGCGCAGAUGGCGGGAAAGGAUGUGCGCUGUCGGCCGCGCCUCGACGGCUUCGGCUGGAGGCCGAGGACGUUCUCGGCAGAAACGGGCGAGGCUUCGUCAGCCAAGCUUCACCCGACGUGCAGAUCUACGGCUCAGUGGCGAGCAGUGCGGAGGGGGAUGUGACAGCAGCGGCGCCAACGCUGACCGCGCGGGUGAUGCGGGAGCGCAAACGCCGCGCCGCGGAGGCGCUCGGUAGCGCUAACGGCACCGCGGCGACCGGUGCGAUGAGGGCAGAGGAGAGCAGCCAGGCGAACCGGACAUCUCGGCAGCACCUAUUCCACUCUCCGGCGGGGAAGCGAGCCCGGGAGAAGCCAGAGACGGAUGCCCUCUUUCGCCGCGCGCCGCGGCGUGUGGAGGAUGUCGUCGUUGCUUCUGCUGCCGCUCGUCCAAAUUCGACCCUGUCCUUGCAGUCGCCGAAGUGUCCCACCAUAAACGGCGCCUCCACGGAACCGCCUGCAAGCGCUUCGCAGACGUCGAAGCCGACUGCUCGGAGAGUAGACACGGGGGAUGCCAGUGACCAGCUUGGUGCCGGCGGUGACGGCGGCGACACGGUCUUCUUAUUUUGAGAUGCGUUGCGCGGUGUCGUUCAGGGCUGCUUCCGGGUUGUGCUGGAGGCGCUACGCCUUCUCUGUGCUGUAUUCUUUCGCUUUUCCUUCCUGGGUGUGCCAUUACCUUUGACUGGUGGUGUGCUUGAGAGCGAGUGAGCCCGUUGCUGUGUGCGUGUGUGUGUGUACGCUGCGUCCAACACAGAGCAGCGCUUGAUGCGAUUUCUGCCGUUCGAGGGCGAGGCAAAGAGGGAAGGGGAAGAGAGCGUGUGCGUGCACAUGCAUGAGGUGGGAAGGUCCGAUAGCUGCGCUAAUCAGCUCUCUGUCUCGCUCGGUUCAGCCUCGGUGCCGCUUCCUCUUUUCUCUUUGCGGUGCCUCUCGUGACGCGUCUCUGCAGCACUGAGCGGCGAGAUAUCGACGAGCCAGCAAGAGGGAAGGAGGGCGGCUCGAGUAAAGGAUCGACAUACACGUGUUGGUCUGCGAGGUACUCGACGUCCAAGCGGAAAAGAAAAAGGGCCACACGCCACACACAGACGCACACAGACACACAUGCGUGCAGGGGAGCACUUUCAGCUGUGCUCAUAGCAUGCGUGCACGCGUGCCGUUUCUUUUUUUUUUUGUUUUGUUUCUUCGGGUGACCUUUGCCCAUUCCACUUUUGGUCAUGGGAAAGGCAAAGUGGGGAGAGGAACAGACCCGUGCAUGUGCGCAUGCGUUCUCUCUCUCCAUCUACUCCCCCUCCCCCCUCUCCGUCCUUCCCGCUUGCCUCGGCGCAGCGCUGACCCACUCCCUGGCGUGUGUGAUCAUCCAGUGACAUAAC